AUACGGAAGGUGCAAGCGUUAUUCGGAAUCACUGGGCGUAAAGGACGCGUAGGCGGGUUGGCAAGUCAGAUGUGAAAUCCUACAGCUUAACUGUAGAACUGCAUUUGAAACUGCUAACCUAGAGUAUGGGAGGGGGAGAUGGAAUUAGUGGUGUAGGGGUAAAAUCCGUAGAUAUCACUAGGAAUACCGAAAGCGAAGGCGAUCUCCUGGAACAUAACUGACGCUAAGGCGUGAAAGCGUGGGGAGCAAACAGGAUUAGAAACCCUUGUAGUCC
rnacentral:rRNA from 1 species